rnacentral:rRNA from 1 species
CAGUCGCCGCGGGAACACGAAGGGGGCUAGCGUUGUUCGGAUUUACUGGGCGUAAAGCGCACGUAGGCGGACUUUUAAGUCAGGGGUGAAAUGCCAAGGCUCAACCUUGGAACUGCCUUUGAUACUGGAAGUCUUGAGUGUGGAAGAGGUUGGUGGAACUGCGAGUGUAGAGGUGAAAUUCGUAGAUAUUCGCAAGAACACCAGUGGCGAAGGCGGCCAACUGGUCCAUUACUGACGCUGAGGUGCGAAAGCGUGGGGAGCAAACAGGAUUAGAUACCCCUGUAGUCCCUGUCUCUUAUAC